rnacentral:rRNA from 1 species
UACAGGGGGGGCAAGCGUUGUUCGGAAUUACUGGGCGUAAAGGGUCUGUAGGUGGCCAACUAAGUCAUACGUGAAAUCCCUCAGCUUAACUGGGGAACUGCGCCUGAUACUGGUUGGCUUGAGUGCAGGAGAGGAACGCGGAAUUCCAGGUGUAGCGGUGAAAUGCGUAGAUAUCGGGAGGAACACCUAUGGCGAAGGCAGCUCGCUGGGACGUUACUGACGCUGAGACGCGAAAGCGUGGGGAGCAAACAGG